GUAGUUAGCCGGAGCUUCCUCCUUGGCUACCAUCUUCUUCUUUUCACCAAGGACAGAGGUUUACAAUCCGAAGACCUUCUUCCCUCACGCGGCGUUGCUGGGUCAGGCUUGCGCCCAUUGCCCAAUAUUCCCCACUGCUGCCUCCCGUAGGAGUCUGGACCGUAUCUCAGUUCCAAUGUGGCCGAUCACCCUCUCAGGUCGGCUACCCAUCGCUGACUUGGUGGGCCGUUACCUCACCAACUAUCUAAUGGGACGCGAGCCCACCUUCUACCGGAUUUCUCCUUUGACCUCAAGAUCAUGCGAUCCCGUGGUCUUACGCGGUAUUAGCACACCUUUCGGUGCGUUAUCCCCCUGUAGAAGACAGGUUGCUCACGCGUUACUCACCCGUCCGCCACUCGAAUACACUCGGAUUGCUCCUCAUGUAUCCUCGUUCGACUUUGCAUGUGUUAAAGCACGCCGCCAGCGUUCGUCCUGAGCCAGAAUCGAACCCUGA
rnacentral:rRNA from 1 species